GCGUGAUUGGUCUAGUGGUAAAAUUCUCCGUUGCCAUCGGGGAGCUCUGGGUUCGAUUCCCAGAUCACGCA
rnacentral:tRNA from 1 species